rnacentral:rRNA from 1 species
GACGAACGCUGGCGGCGUGCCUAAUACAUGCAAGUAGAACGCUGAAGGAGGAGCUUGCUUCUCUGGAUGAGUUGCGAACGGGUGAGUAACGCGUAGGUAACCUGCCUGGUAGCGGGGGAUAACUAUUGGAAACGAUAGCUAAUACCGCAUAAUAGCAGUUAUUGCAUGAUAACUGUUUGAAAGGUGCAAUUGCACCACUACCAGAUGGACCUGCGUUGUAUUAGCUAGUUGGUGGGUAACGGCUCACCAAGGCGACGAUACAUAGCCGACCUGAGAGGGUGAUCGGCCACACUGGGACUGAGACACGGCCCAGACUCCUACGGGAGGCAGCAGUAGGGAAUCUUCGGCAAUGGACGGAAGUCUGACCGAGCAACGCCGCGUGAGUGAAGAAGGUUUUCGGAUCGUAAAGCUCUGUUGUAAGAGAAGAACGAGUGUGAGAGUGGAAAGUUCACACUGUGACGGUAUCUUACCAGAAAGGGACGGCUAACUACGUG